UACAGAGGUCUCAAGCGUUGUUCGGAUUCAUUGGGCGUAAAGGGUGUGUAGGUGGCGCCGUAAGUCGGGUGUGAAAUUUCGGAGCUUAACUCCGAAACUGCAUUCGAUACUGCGGUGCUUGAGGACUGGAGAGGAGACUGGAAUUCAUGGUGUAGCAGUGAAAUGCGUAGAGAUCAUGAGGAAGACCAGUGGCGAAGGCGGGUCUCUGGACAGUUCCUGACACUGAGGCACGAAGGCCAGGGGAGCAAACGGGG
rnacentral:rRNA from 1 species